UACGUAGGGUGCGAGCGUUAAUCGGAAUUACUGGGCGUAAAGCGUACGCAGGCGGCUGGGUAAGACAGGUGUGAAAUCCCCGGGCUUAACCUGGGAAUGGCGCUUGAAACUACGGGACUGGAGUAUGGCAGAGGGAGGUGGAAUUCCACGUGUAGCGGUGAAAUGCGUAGAGAUGUGGAGGAACACCGAUGGCGAAGGCAGCCUCCUGGGCCAAUACUGACGCUCAUGCACGAAAGCGUGGGGAGCAAACAGG
rnacentral:rRNA from 1 species